AUGUGUUUUGUAGCGAUGCUGAUACCGUUAUACCUCCUGGUGCUCUGGUGACUGCUGCUGAGCUUUCUAGAUCUUCCUCUCUGUCAGUCAGCAGUUUGUUGGAAGAGAAGGUAAAUUUUAUUUCAACAUAUGCAGUGAGUCCUGUAUUUUAGUAGAGCUCAUUUUCCAACUGUUUGCGUUUAUUCACAAGGGCUGUCAGAUUCCUGUACUAAGACAACCAGCUUUACCAAGUCUUCUGGGCCCCCAAGGGCAAUCAAUGCCCACGACUGGUCAUCCAACGAGAGCCAGUACACCUCGCUCAGCGGGUGGCAGACCAGGCUGGGACCUGUAAGUGUUCUGCAGAAAUUCAGUAUAUUACUGCUCGUAACCUGUUAAAUGAGGCCGUAGCACGUAACUUAGAUAACAGCUGAUUUAUAAUGAGAAGUUCCAGUCGAGGACGCCUGCGUGGUGAACGUACCCAGAGGACCCAAGCCCCAACGCUACCAGCAUCAACAGCAGUCUUCGUGCCAGCGCCUCCGCCUUCUUUGUACCCUCCACCACCCCAAGCACUUCCUCUUCUACCGGGGGCACUACGACCACAGUUUCCUCCCCAGUUUCCACCUGGUCAGCCUCCAUCUGCCAGCUACACUGACUCCCCUCCAGGAUAUCCCCCAGCUCCUGCAAACACGUCAUCAGCCUGGGUACCAACAGCAGUACCGACGGCGCAUUCCGAUCCCAUCCCAGUGACACAAGCUCCUCCUUUAUCUAGGGAGGAGUUUUACAGAGAACACCAGCGACUGGAAGAGGAGUAAGUACUUGGCUCAAGGAAGUUGUGUUUGUUCUUUUUCAUUUUUGUAUUUUGAGAGCGUACUGGACUGCAGUUACACUGAAGUGCAUCUGACAUAAGCAAAAAUGACAUAGUAUUUUUUUCAACAGGCUUUUUUCUUGCAGAUGGCAAACGUGCAAAACUAAAAGAAGACAAACGUAAUUCUAAAACUGUCCCUUCAACUUACAGGAAUUCUAAACUGGUUUUGCUUAAAUAGGACAUGCACCUUUUGCGCUUGCGUGCAGUAUACGUUUUCUCACGUUGGGCACGGUUUGUUUCUUGGUGUCGUUUUGUCCUAAAGGUCAAACUCUAAUUGUAAUAAAGGUCAAACGAAUGCUUUUGCUAAGGAGUUGAUGGAAUA